AUGUCUGAAGUAUUUAACAGUUGGAUUUUGCCAGCCAGAGAACUUCCUAUUUACUCGAUGGUUGAAAACAUAAACAACAAGAUCACAGCAAGGAUAUACAGCAAGCAGAUGGAAGUUGCAAAAGAUAAGAAAUGGAGUAUGAGAUUGUGCCCAAAAAUUCAGAAAAAAUUGGACAAGUACACUGAUUGGGCUGCAAACUGCAUGGUCUUUGGAGCUGGUCAGAAGGUUUUCAAGGUUGUGUCAAUGAACCACUCCUACAUAGUGGACUUGGAAAUGGAAACCUGUAACUGCAAGAGAUGGGACUUGUCUGGCAUUCCAUGUCACCAUGCUAUUGCUUGUGCUAGAAAUGAGAGAAUUGACCCUGCAAGCCUAGUGCAUGAUUGUUAUUCAGUAGGGACAUACAAAAGGGCUUAUGCUUUUAAUGUAAAACCAGUGAGGGACCAUGAACAUUGGACUAAGAUGCAUGGCAUUGCUGUAUAUCCACCAGUGUACACUAAGGUAAUGGGGAGACCAAGGAGGAAUAGAAAGAAAGAUCCAGAGGAGAAGUUGAUGAAAGAAGGAGGGAAAAAGUUGACAAAGCAUGGUGUAACCAUGCACUGCUCUCUUUGUGGAAGUGCAGACCACAAUAAGAAAGGCCACAAGAAGUGGGAAGAGACCACAAGAGAUGCUCCUCAACCUGCAAAUGUUACAGAUGAUGAAGAAGAGUAUGAUGAUCCUACAAUCAUUUCUAACAUAAUGCCACACACAGUCCAUCCACACAUGGAUCCAAGUCAAACCCCAGGGUCCAUGGUUUUCCUCAUGCAGCAAAUGGUAACCUUGUCUUGA
rnacentral:rRNA from 1 species